AUACGGAGGAUGCGAGCGUUAUCCGGAUUUAUUGGGUUUAAAGGGAGCGUAGGUGGGAUAUUAAGUCAGCUGUGAAAGUUUGGGGCUCAACCUUAAAAUUGCAGUUGAUACUGGUUUCCUUGAGUACGGUACAGGUGGGCGGAAUUCGUGGUGUAGCGGUGAAAUGCUUAGAUAUCACGAAGAACUCCGAUUGCGAAGGCAGCUCACUAGACUGUUACUGACACUGAUGCUCGAAAGUGUGGGUAUCAAACAGGAUUAGAUACCCUGGUAGUCCACACAGUAAACGAUGAAUACUCGUUGUUUGCGAUAUACAGUAAGCGGCCAAGCGAAAGCAUUAAGUAUUCCACCUGGGGAGUACGCCGGCAACGGUGAAACUCAAAUGAAUUGGCGGGG
rnacentral:rRNA from 1 species